rnacentral:rRNA from 1 species
UACGUAGGGUGCGAGCGUUAAUCGGAAUUACUGGGCGUAGAGCGUGCGCAGGCGGCUUCGCAAGUCAGGUGUGAAAUCCCCGGGCUUAACCUGGGAAUGGCGCUCGAAACUGCGGGGCUAGAGUCUGCCAGAGGGGGGUGGAAUUCCACGUGUAGCAGUGAAAUGCGUAGAGAUGUGGAGGAACACCGAUGGCGAAGGCAGCCCCCUGGGGUAAGACUGACGCUCAGGCACGAAAGCGUGGGGAGCAAACAGG